UUCCACAUAGUAUAUUUAGAA
rnacentral:piRNA from 1 species